rnacentral:rRNA from 1 species
GACGAACGCUGGCGGCGCGCUUAACACAUGCAAGUCGAGCGAGAACCAGCCCUUCGGGACUGGGGAAAGCGGCGAACGGGUGAGUAUCACGUGGGUAAUCUGCCCUCGGCACUGGGAUAGCCCGGGGAAACCCGGAUUAAUACCGGAUAGCCUCUCGAGCCUUCGGGCUCGUCAGAAAAGGUGGCUUCGGCUUCCGGCUGAGGAUGAGCCCGCGGCGGAUUAGCUUGUUGGUGGGGUAAUGGCUCACCAAGGCGACGAUCCGUAGCUGGUCUGAGAGGACGAUCAGCCACACUGGGACUGAGACACGGCCCAGACUCCUGCGGGAGGCAGCAGUGGGGAAUCUUGCGCAAUGGGCGAAAGCCUGACGCAGCGACGCCGCGUGCGGGAAGAAGGCCUUCGGGUUGUAAACCGCUUUCAGGAGGGACGAAGCCACUCGGGUUAAUAGCCCAGAGGGUGACGGUACCUCCAGAAGAAGCCCCGGCUAACUACGUGCCAGCCGCCGCAGUAACAC